rnacentral:tRNA from 1 species
GCGUUUUUAGUUUAAUGGAUAAAACAUCAAUCUUCUAAAUUGGUUAGUGUAGGUUCGAGUCCUUCAAAACGCG